AAAAUUAUUAACAAAGAAAUUUUAUUUCAGAUUUAAACAUCUUUUAAAUCUAAUAAAUUAUAAAUUUAAUCUAGAUCAUAUCUAACAAAUUUAUGAUUAAAGAUAGAUCUACACAAACUAGGACAACCUUUGCACUGUAAGGGGUAAACCUUACAGCAGGACAACCUUGCAGUUUGUGAUUGAUCUAAAAUUUUAAUUUU
rnacentral:lncRNA from 1 species